rnacentral:lncRNA from 1 species
CCCGUGGUGCAAGCCCUGUUGCAUCGAGUGGUCUGUCACAUCCGUGCGCUGGUUGUGCUUCCCACUAAGGAGCUGGCCCAACAGGUGAGCAAAGUAUUCAACAUCUACACGGACACCACACCUCUGCGGGUUGCCUUGGUGACUGGACAGAAGUCACUGGCCAAGGAGCAGGAGAGCCUUGUCCAGAAGACGUAGGUGUGCCAGGUGGUGGGCUCUUCAAGAGGUCCUCCCUCAGCCCAGCUGGGGUCCUGUGGUGGGGGUGGUGGGGGUUGGGGGUCGGGG